UCGACGGCAAAGCGUGAUUGUGUUUCUGCUUUUAUCGACAACGAAAAAAUAUAAUCGAGUAUUCUAUCAAAGUCGAAAUAAAAAAACUCCAAAAUUUUUUUAAAAGCAAGAAAAACAACAGAAAAUAACUUUUAACACAAGAAAUAAAUGAAUAUUGAAAAAAAAAAACAUCAAUACUGCUCUUAUGACCAAUUUCAUAAAGCCCUUUUAAAUAUUUAUCCGAAUUUUACGUCCUUAAAUGACGUUUGUUCCAUACAAAAACGUAAUUUAAAAAUUUUAAAGCCUUUUAAAUGUUUAUGAAAUCGGCCAUUACAGUCAAGAUAAAUCCACAGGACAAGAAAAAAAUACAUUUUUUUUUAAAUUAAAUAAAUAAACGACGAAGUCUACAAGUACAAAUCCAACUUCACGAAACUAAUUGAAGACACUGAAGAAAAAACGAAACAAAGAUAACACAAAUUUUCUCAGAGUUGAAAAAGAAAUAUAUACCAGAAAAAAAACGAACGAGAGAAACAGAGAUAAAAAACAAAAAAUGAGAAAAGGGGAAUUAUAAAGUAAUUAUGAAGGUGAAGAACAAAAUCAUGAAAUAGAAAAAGAACAGAAAGGGAAA